UACGUAGGUGGCAAGCGUUGUCCGGAUUUACUGGGUGUAAAGGGCGUGCAGCCGGGCUGACAAGUCAGAUGUGAAAUCCCGCGGCUCAACCGCGGAACUGCAUUUGAAACUGUCAGUCUUGAGUACCGGAGAGGUCAUCGGAAUUCCUUGUGUAGCGGUGAAAUGCGUAGAUAUAAGGAAGAACACCAGUGGCGAAGGCGGAUGACUGGACGGCAACUGACGGCGAGGCGCGAAAGCGUGGGGAGCAAACAGG
rnacentral:rRNA from 1 species